rnacentral:lncRNA from 1 species
UGUUGAUUGAUGUAAGCAGGCUAACGUUAGCUAGCUAGCGUGUGUAAAAUAAUAGCCACCAAUGUUUAACAACGAUGAGGAUCUUCUAGAUGUGGCCACUUUAAGGAAUCAAUUGUGAUCGACGGAGAUACGUUUGAAAAGUUUGGGAGAACAAAUUAUGUCAAUCAGGACAUGAGUCACAGUGAGUGGUCUGAGCAGAGUACAACAUGUGGGUUGCCAGGUCGUCUGACCUUUGAGCAGGGGUUCCCAAACUUUCGAGCAUUGGGGAACAGCCCCACCUGGCAACCCAAUUCUGGAGAGAACCCUCAGCCUACCUAGUACUGAGUCCAGGGGCCGUGGAGAUGGAGGUUGCCCCCUCCUCAGGAAGAAGCUGGGUUACCUGCGUCAAGAGAACGACUCCCUGGAGAACAGACAGCUCAUUAGGGACCUGGAGGUGGCCCAGAUUGAACUGAGCAGCUCCAAGACCAAGGUCUGUCUCCUGGGCUCCACAGUAGGGGCUAAGACCUCCAGUGUGACUGUCACGAGAUAACAGAUCCUGGGCUUGGAGGCCGAUGUAGAGGCCCAAGCCAAAGAACUCCGUGAGCUGAAGGACGAGGUCACCCAGGCACGAACACAGGCCGCCGAGGUCCAGGGACGUCUGGAGGAGGCUGCCCAGCAGUCCUCGCGGCUGGGAUGGAGCUGGGCGAGUGGGCCUUGGCAGCCAGGGAGCUGGCCUCUCCACAGGGAGACGGAGCACAGUGCCAGGAACACAGGCUGGCCCGGUGCCGGAGAGAGAACCAGUAGAGCCAGGCUGAAUGAGCUAGUCUGGAGAACAUACUGAGUCUGAGAGGGCCGUGGAGAUGGAGGUUGGCCCCUCCUCAGGAAGAAGCUGGGUUACCUGCGUCAAGAGAACGACUCCCUGGAGAACAGACAGCUCAUUAGGGACCUGGAGGUGGCCCAGAUUGAACUGAGCAGCUCCAAGACCAAGGUCUGUCUCCUGGGCUCCACAGUAGGGGCUAAGACCUCCAGUGUGACUGUCACGAGAUAACAGAUCCUGGGCUUGGAGGCCGAUGUAGAGGCCCAAGCCAAAGAACUCCGUGAGCUGAAGGACGAGGUCACCCAGGCACGAACACAGGCCGCCGAGGUCCAGGGACGUCUGGAGGAGGCUGCCCAGCAGUCCUCGCGGCUGGGAUGGAGCUGGGCGAGUGGGCCUUGGCAGC